rnacentral:lncRNA from 1 species
AACACUACGGUAUUCGUCUAUAUUCAAAUGGGGAAUAUGAUGCCACGUUUUAGAAGGAUAGGCAAAUAGUGGAGACACUGAAGCUUGUGAAAGAGUUUUGGAGAAAAUGCUGGAGAGAAAAAAUGGCAUAUCAAGUUGGUCAAAGCUUGAACCAAGACACCCGGCUAAUUUUGUGAUGAUCUCAAAGAUAUAUGGAGAUCAGACAUAAUGAUGCUGCUAGGCUAUGAUAGAUACUGGCUUUAAAAGAAAGAAAGCAGAUGUUACCUAGUUGAGACCGAUGAUGGGCUAUAAUCUUGAGGAGAGAAGCAUAGUAGAAAAGAGGAAUUACAGAGGUUGAUAGAGCUUGAUGGACUUCAACACUACUGAAGAAGCUUCCGGUUAAGAUUGGAUUUGGAUCCAUUAUAGGAAUAGCCGUGAACACAUUUCUGGAAUGUAGAUUUUGAUACGUCUUUAGUUGCUAAACAUCAAACACUAAAACAACAUAACACAUUCAAUAUCCAGACAAAAGAAAAGAAGGUUUGCAUAGCACACAAGUUUUUUUUUUUUUUGGACAACACAUUGCACAGAAGUUAAUAUCAUAAGCACGUCUUCUCUCAGAGAGAGAUUUCUACUCCCUUCUUCUGCUUUCCCUCCCUAGUCUCACUCUUCUUCUUCUUCUGAAUUCCCUCCCUGGUCUUAGAAGGAUAGGCAAAUAGUGGAGACACUGAAGCUUGUGAAAGAGUUUUGGAGAAAAUGCUGGAGAGAAAAAAUGGCAUAUCAAGUUGGUCAAAGCUUGAACCAAGACACCCGGCUAAUUUUGUGAUGAUCUCAAAGAUAUAUGGAGAUCAGACAUAAUGAUGCUGCUAGGCUAUGAUAGAUACUGGCUUUAAAAGAAAGAAAGCAGAUGUUACCUAGUUGAGACCGAUGAUGGGCUAUAAUCUUGAGGAGAGAAGCAUAGUAGAAAAGAGGAAUUACAGAGGUUGAUAGAGCUUGAUGGACUUCAACACUACUGAAGAAGCUUCCGGUUAAGAUUGGAUUUGGAUCCAUUAUAGGAAUAGCCGUGAACACAUUUCUGGAAUGUAGAUUUUGAUACGUCUUUAGUUGCUAAACAUCAAACACUAAAACAACAUAACACAUUCAAUAUCCAGACAAAAGAAAAGAAGGUUUGCAUAGCACACAAGUUUUUUUUUUUUUUGGACAACACAUUGCACAGAAGUUAAUAUCAUAAGCACGUCUUCUCUCAGAGAGAGAUUUCUACUCCCUUCUUCUGCUUUCCCUCCCUAGUCUCACUCUUCUUCUUCUUCUGAAUUCCCUCCCUGGUCUUGCUCUUCUUAUUCUUCUUCUUCUUCUUCUUCUUCUUCUUCUGAUUUCCCUCCGAUGUAUCACUCUUCUUCUGCUGUCCCUCAGUAAUGAAACAUAGAUUUGGAUCUUCUAUCUGCUCCCUUGUGAAGCGAGUUAGGCUACCUAAAACAAACAGACAGACGAAUCAAUGAAAGGUUUUACUUGGUUAAAAAAAAAGAAUAAAGAAUCAAAUUUACGUACUUGGGUG